GGAACUGGAGUUGCAGAUGGCUGUGAGCCACCGUGUGGGUGCUGGGGUUGGAACCCAGGACCUCUGGAAGAGCAGCCAGUGCUCCUAACUGCUGAGCCGUCUCUCCAGCUCCCACUCACCGGUAACUUUUUGUGCAAGGACUAAGCAUCGCAUAACUAGAGCGUGUCUGUGGGUUAAAAGAAGAACUCAAGGCAGCUUUAGCAACAGUAGGGAGUCUGUUAGCUUAUGUAACCAAAGCAUGGGUGCAUGUUUGAGAUUCGGUGUGACAUCAUUCCUAAGGGGUAAAUGCUUGAGAUUCGGUGUGACAUCAUUCCUAAGGGGUAAAUGCUCACCUUCGGUAUCAUGAUACAUCCAUCCGUUUACCAAGACCUGCCGUCCUCAUCACAGAUUCUUCCCGCUGAAUGCCGUGUCCAGGGGCUUCUAGCCAUCUUUCCCCUCUGCAUACAUUCUCAGAGAUACCCUCUAUCUGGUGCCAGGCGGGACCAGGGGCCAUUCCCUUCCUACUUAAAAUGACACUCAUAACCAAGAAUAAGGGCCCAGAAAUGGGCCAGUGGUCGGGUAGGUGCAGCCUGCCCCCUGGUGGCUGGAUAUUGUGAGUUUCUUCCCAUGUCAAGUUGGGCAUAGCAGCACUAGGCUCUUCUACCUACCAGGCUGGCUUAUAGCCUCAGAGAGGGCCAGGCUUGUCUCCAUUCCACCCAGCCGCCAUGAUUGACACGUCUGUUUUUAGCUUUCCUCAGAGGCUAACAGAAAACGGGAACCAGAGUGAUGUGCUCUGUUGGUAUCCAGUUUAGGAUACCAACAGUCUUGGAUACUUAGAGUGUGGAUGGUGGCCACUGGCCAAAAACAAAAAAGAAAGAAAAAAUAAAACAAAAACACAACCAGGCUGAUGAGUACAGGGGCUGAGGGGGAGACUUGCUAUAAGAUUGCUCUGGAAGUGCUUGGAAAAUUCUGGGCUUCAAGAUGGAAUAUUCUCUGUGUACCUUUUCCCCCACUACCUCCAAAAUUCCAGAUCUUCUGUAUCUAGGGAACUUGGGUACAAGAACGGCGACCUGAAACCCUGGGUCAGGAGAGGACAACUCUGCCCUGCACCCCUACGGUGAAGGAGUCACUCCUGAACAGAGUGAACAGCCCCCAUCUGCCCUCAGCCUAGGCGUGGCUCUGAGUCCUGAAAGGCCAGAGAGGCUGGGGCUGAUUUCAUGACUGGAACUCCUGAGGUGGACCUCAUACUUUAUGCCUCAGACAGACAGACAGACAGACAGACAGACAGACAGACAGACAGGCAGGCAGACACACACACACACACACACACACACACACACACACACACACACACGCAGAGUUGUCCCAGGCCACUGAUGAGAAGCAGCAGCCGUGUAUGCGCAGCUCAAGCGUGUGAUUUGGUGUAUCUCUGUGCGUGUGAGGCCCCACCUGAAAAGGCUGCUGGCUCCUCCCGUCAUAUAUGACAUCAGCUUCGAAAGGAGGCUGCCCGUGGUAACACUGCCUGUUGGAAUCAUUCCCGAGGGCAGGGCCCUGGCUGGGCAGGUCUGGUAACAGGCAGACUCCUUGGCACAUGUAGCAACACGCUCAAUUGUACACAGGCUCCUAUCUGUGCCAGGGCACAAGGCACGCGUGACGAGGCCGUCUGCCCAGCUGGUUUUUCUGCAUGACUCUGCCCGCUCUUCACCAUCUCCUCUGCCUGGACCUCCGUGUGUCGGUGCUGACAGCAUGGCCCACUCCUCCCCCUGCCUUUGAACCCAGCCUUCUGGGUCUCAGACUCCGUGUGCAGGCACGUCCAGACAAUGGCCUGUGGAAGGAGUGUGACACAGAAGAGCAUUCUUGUGCUGGCCUGAGCUUUGAGAUGGGUCCAAAGAAGUAAAAUUUAUGGAAAUUCUGGAACCAUUAAAAUGUAUUUGCAAAA